GGGGGGGUAGGUGGAAGAGAGGAUAUUGCUGGGAUGUGGUUAGGAGCCUGUGUUUCGUAAACAGUCUUGUAGACACGUGAUGGGGACAUUUCUUCAUUCAAAAAGAACUGAAGCCCUUUCUCGGCAGAGCUCAGGAACAAUCGUGUUCACCAAGAGCAGUGACGCGCACCUGUUAUCCAAGCUGGGUGUGUGACAGAGGCAGGAGGAUCGCUCGAGUCCAGGAGCUUAAGACCAGCCUGGGUAACACAGACCUUGUGACUCUGCCUUAGGCGCUGACACACCAGGUAAAUAUUUAUGGAAUGAAUGUGUGGUAUUAACAGUGGAGACCAGGCUGGCUAAGGUGGACUUCCUGUUCCCACAAGAGAGCCUAAAUCUGUGCAGGGGGUAGAGAAAAGUCUGGAAGGCAAGCCCCAGAAACUAGCUGUAUCUAUGCCAUAUGAUUAUAUUUGAUUUUUCCCCUUGUACUUUGUUUAGUUUUGUUUUCAUUUUUGAGACAGUCUUACUAUGUAGCCCUUCACUGGGCUGGUACUUGCUAUGUAGACCAAGCUGGCCUUGAACUCAUAGAAAUUUAACUGCCUCUGCUUCCCAAGUGCUGGGUAUGAAGGUCCAUGCCACCACUCCUGGCUACUUUCUAUGAUUUUAAGUACUCAACUCCCUUUCAUCAUCAGGAACUGUAAUGUCAAAAUACAAUGACAUCUACGCCCAAUAUGAGGUUGGGUUUACCAAUGAAAAGAAGUCUUGGUGAGGGGGUUCCUCGUCCUUUAGAACUGACCUAAGCAAACAAAAUUAUUGAUUGUAAGAUUUUUUUUUGGCCGGCAGUGGUGGCACACACCUUUAAUCCCAGCACUCGGGAGGCAGAGGCAGGAGGAUCUCUGUGAGUUCGAGCCCAGCCUGGUCUACAAGAGCUAGUUCCAGGACAGCCUCCAAAGCCACAGGGAAACCCUGUCUCGGAAAAAAAAAAGUUUUUUUUUUUAAAUUACAUUUAUUAGUUUGGGGGGGUGUGCCUAUGCCAUGGCACACAAGUGGGGGUCAGAGGAAAACUUGGAGGAACUGAUUUUUUUUUCCACCAUGUGGGUCCCAGGAUCAAAUGCACAGGGGUCAGACUUGGCAGAAAGCCUUUCAUCCACUAAAGCCUCACUGGUUCAACUUUAUUCAGUGGGGUGACUUUUUGAAUUUUUAUUUUUACGUGUGUGCGUGUGUGUGUGUGUGUGUGUGUGUGUGUGUGUGUGUGUACUUGCUGGGUGUUGAAGCCCCUGGAACUGGAGUUACAGGCAGUUGUGAGUCUCAUGUGGGCUGGGUUCUGUAUUAGUGGCAUGCUCUCUUAACCCUGGAUGACUUCCAUUUGAACAAGGCCAAGGACAGUAGGUGGACAAUUAUUUUUAUAUCAAAUGCCACUCCAUUUCUCCCUGUAUAAUAAUGAUUCUCAUUAGUUCCCUUUUCCAAACAGCUUUCAGUCUCCAUAGGUGCCCACCCCCCCCAAACUCCUGAGAACCUCUCUCAUCCUCAGUCUAUGAGACCAUAACAAUGAUCACGGUGUUAUUUACUUAGCGUUGUGUGCCAGGCGUUUGGAUGCCUUUUCUUGUUCAGCAUCACAAGAACCCAGAGAGGUACAUAGUUUACAAUGGGGAACAUAAGCUUAAAGCCACACAGCCAGGAAAUGGCUGAAAGAAGUCCAGGCCCAGAUCUGUCUGUCCUCCAAGCCUGUGCCUUAUGGUCGGGUCCAAAAAAAAAAAGAGAGAUCCCCAGGGCAGUGAAAUGGCCCAGCAGGUAAAAGUGCUUGCCACUGGGAGAGCUGGCCUCAUCAGCUGCAGCACUCAGGAGGGUGGCCCCUACACCCGGGCUGGGGACACAGCAGAGCUGGCCCUGGAGAUAUAAGUGUAAAAGAACUGACCCCGAGGAUGGGAAGGCUAUUUUUAAAUUGGUCACAUUUGUUCUACGACUAGGUGAACUUUCUAGAAACGCUAUAGCUAACCUGGGAGAGCACUCACUGCUGAAGUGGGGUGCGAAACCAUCUCCCCCUACAUUGCUGAUGGAGAUGGAAACUGCACAGCAGCUUUGGACAAGUGUGUCUCUAGGUACCAAACAAACAUCGCUAUGUGACCCUGUCAUCACAUCCCCAGGCAUUCAUGACCCCUCAGAAACUGGUUGGAAGUUUUGUAAAUUUGGUGCAAUCUGGAACCGUUUUGUAAGAGAAGCCUCAAUUAAGGAAAUGCCUCCAUCAGACUGGCCUUUGGGCAAGCCUGGGAGGCAUCUCUUGGUUGACGGUUGAUGUGGGAGGGGUCAGCACGUUGAGGAUGGUGCCACCCCUGGGCAGGUGGUCCUGGGGGUGUUUAAGAAAGCUAACUGAGCAAGCCAGGAAGCCACGUUCCUCUGUGACCUCUGCUUCAGCCCCUGCCUUGAGUUCCUGAGUUGGCAUCCCUCAUGGCUGAAUUGCUAUCAGAACAUGCAAGCCAAAUAAAUCCUUUCCUCAAGUU